rnacentral:misc_RNA from 1 species
UCCAGCAGCCGCGGUAAUACGUUCCCGGGUCUUGUACACACCGCCCGUCACACCACGAGAGUUUACAACACCCGAAGUCGGUGGGGUAACCGCAAGGAGCCAGCCGCCGAAGGUGGGGUAGAUGAUUGGGGUGAAGUCGUAACAAGGUAGCCGUAUCGGAAGGUGCGGCUGGAUCACCUCCUUUCUAUGGAGAUCAUGACCAUUGCAGAUGGUCGGAUCAAAUGACGCACAAACUUAGCUCGGGUUCAGUUUUGAAAGGCGCAAGCUUUUCAAAGGAUUUCGUUUGGUGAUGAUGGCGGAAGGGAACCACGCGUACCCAUACCGAACACGACCGUUAAGCCUUCCAGCGCCGAUGGUACUUGGACCGAAGGGUCCCGGGAGAGCAGGACGUUGCCAAGCGAAACCCACCUUAUGGUGGGUUUUAAUUAUGAUUAGAAGUCUCAAACAUUGAGGGCCCUUAGCUCAGCUGGUUAGAGCGCACCCCUGAUAAGGGUGAGGUCGGUGGUUCGAGUCCACUAGGGCCCACCAUAACAACCAAAUAGAAGAGACAAGCAUCUUCGGAAUUGGUCAUUUGUUAGGGCCCAUAGCUCAGCUGGGAGAGCGCCUGCCUUGCAAGCAGGAGGUCAGCGGUUCGAUCCCGCUUGGGUCCACCAUAAUUUUGUUCCUUGAAAACUGGAUAACGAAACAAACUAGCUGAAACAUCUAAGUAAUGCCGCGGUGUUUUUAAACAUCGCACAUUAGCUGUGCUUUAAUAGUUAAGCUAAUAAGAGCGCACGGAGGAUACCUAGGCACACAGAGA